CAAAGGCCAAGGAGGCGCCGAGAGCAAGGAGCAAGCGAGGGCUGAGGGCUGCCAGCAAGCUGUCACCUCUCAAAGCAGUGUGAUGGAGGCAGCAAAAUGUGUGGAACCGUCAUUAUGAAGAAGGCAAUGCUCUCCUGCACCAGGGAGCUCUUCACCCCACAACUACAGAGCUCCUGUCUUCCAAGGUUCCCGAACUGUUCUGGGAAGUGCUCCUAAUCACCUGAGGUUUACAUACAAACAACCCCAGGACAUUUCAUUUAGCUACCAAUGUCAUGAUUACCAAAAAUUAAUUAACAAUAUGGUGGUCGUCAUCACAUCUGAGUCACCAAAUCAAAAUUCAGGACACAUUUCCAUGCAAAGUGCAGCCUUCUUCUUACGUUUCAUAAUUGUCAUUUCAAAUGAGAUCUUGGUUGGAAACAAUUGCUUAACUGUUUCAAGGUAUACUGGGUUAUCACUAACUCAUUUCUGUAAAGCAGAAUACAAGACCUCAACCUGUUAGAGAUCCUUUGUUGAUUAACAAGCUGAUUAAUAAGCUGAUUGUUCUCCUGAUUUAAGGCCUAUACCAAAAUUCUUGAAGCUCAAUUUGCACCACAGAGUACGCCAAUAUGUUUGAGUGAACUGGCUCUGGCUCUCCGAAGCUGUUUUGUAAAGACAAGAGACUAUAAGCCAUGGUGAGUAGUUAUACAUGAAGAACCUCAAUUAAUGCCUUACAUAUGGCAUGAGGAGACUAGAAAUUUUCUUGUUAAUGGGGCAGGGGUAUAAUAAUAAAUAUCUUGGCAAAUGA